GCCUGGCUGGCUCAGCUGGUAGAGCAUGCGACUCUUGAUCUCAGGGUCAUGAGUUUGAGCCCCAUGUUGGGCA
rnacentral:tRNA from 1 species